rnacentral:rRNA from 1 species
AUGUACAUUCCUACAACAUAGAAUUAAUGCACCGGAUCCCAUUAGAACUCCGCAGUUACGUGCACUCAGGCUAGAGUAAUAGUGGAUGGGUGACCGCUCGAGAAGUCCUAGUGUUUUACAUG